rnacentral:tRNA from 2 species
CAUUAGCUCAGUUGGUAGAGCAUCUGACUUUUAAUCAGAGGGUCGAAGGUUCGAAUCCUUCAUG